rnacentral:rRNA from 1 species
AAUGCAGUGCCCGAACAGGGCGUUGUAAUUGGAAUGAGAACAAUUUAAAUCCCUUAUCGAUUAACAAUUAGAGGGCAAGUCUGGUGCCAGCAGCCGCGGUAAUUCCAGCUCUAAUAGCGUAUAUUAAAGUUGUUGCAGUUAAAAAGCUCGUAGUUGGAUUUCGGCGUGCGCUCAGGCUGGUCGGCCGUCAAGGUCUGUACCGUUUGGGUCACGCCCCACUGUAGGAUACUCACCGCUGUCCUUAACUGGGUGGCGGUCAAAGGGGGUGUGCAUGGGGGCAACUCUGUGCAUAUCUCUGGGGUUCCUACUCUUUUACUUUGAGCAAAUUAGAGUGUUCAAAGCAGGCAAUCGAGCCUUGAAUACUUCAGCAUGGGAUAAUGGAACAGGACUGGGGUCCUGAUUUCGUUGGUUUCUGGGAUCUCAGUAAUGAUUAAUAGGGAUAGUUGGGGGCAUUAGUAUUUAAUUGUCAGAGGUGAAAUUCUUGGAUUUAUGAAAGACUAACUUCUGCGAAAGCAUUUGCCAAGGAUGUUUUCAUUAAUCAAGAACGAAAGUUAGGGGAUCGAAGACGAUCAGAUACCGUCGUAGUCUUAACCAUAAACGAUGCCGACCAGCGAUUGGGAGACGUUACAUGGAUGACUCCCCCAGCAGCUUGCGAGAAAUCACAAGUCUUUGGGUUCCGGGGGGAGUAUGGUCGCAAGGCUGAAACUUAAAGGAAUUGACGGAAGGGCACCACCAGGAGUGGAGCCUGCGGCUUAAUUUGACUCAACACGGGGAAACUUACCAGGUCCAGACAUAGUAAGGAUUGACAGAUUUGAGAGCUCUUUCUUGAUUCUAUGGGUGGUGGUGCAUGGCCGUUCUUAGUUGGUGGAGUGAUUUGUCUGGUUAAUUCCGUUAACGAACGAGACCCUAACCUGCUAAAUAUGUCACUGGUAGACUUCUGCCAAAACAGGUGGGUGUCUAGGGGAAAGUUUCGAUGGACUCCGACGCAUUCAUCUGUGGAUGACUACCAGGAUGUACUUCUUAGAGGGACUAUCUGUAUCAAAGCAGAUGGAAGUUUGAGGCAAUAACAGGUCUGUGAUGCCCUUAGAUGUCCUGGGCCGCACGCGCGCUACACUGACAAGUUCAACGAGUUUAACACCUUGCUCGAUAGGGCUGGGUAAUCUUUGAAAAACUUGUCGUGAUGGGGAUAGAUCAUUGUAAUUAUUGGUCUUCAACGAGGAAUUCCUAGUAAGCGUGAGUCAUCAGCUCGCGUUGAUUACGUCCCUGCCCUUUGUACACACCGCCCGUCGCUCCUACCGAUUGAAUGAUCCGGUGAAAUGUUGGGAGCUGGGGUCUUUUGGCGGCGGGGCAACUCGUCGUCAGGGAUUCUGCAAACUUCAUUAAACCUUAUCAUUUAGA